CGUGGGUUAGUACCCGGGAGAACCGAUCAUUUAAUCCAUAUAUAUAAAAGGUUCCAGGCCAGAAUCACACUGCACAGUUUUAACCCAAAUACACAGCUAAGGACAUGCUGCUUCCCUAGGUGACUGACUGCAAAGAAAACGCCUGCCUGCAACAUACCUUCAGACCCAUUUCUUCGUUUCGGUACUUCCUGAAAUAGUCUGUUCAGGCUCUGGCCUGGAUUCUCUGUUGAAAAACAAGUGUGGUAAGAACAAAACAAUCAGGGGAAUGGUGGUGUUGACGAUAUGGGCUGUGUGACAUGAAAUCUGAGCCGCCUGUCACUAAAGAAAGGGCUCAGGGCUGCCUGUGCAACUCGGGAGUUUCUAGAAUCUUCUGAGAGGCCCUUCCCUGGCUGACCGGCCCGCAGAGGCCGUGGCUCUGCUGCAAAAGGAGAUGGGGGAAAUCUAAGUAGCGACCUACGGCAUUGAGGCCAGGGAGGUCCAUGGGAGGGAGGACUGCCUUGAAGGAGGAUCACCCGCCAGCCCCCAGAACAAAGCUCGCAUUAAUCAUCCAAAGACAUUCAAUUUCGGUUAACAUCCUCAUAAAACACUGCAUUUUCUUGGUGCAAAUUGAUGCUGUUCAAAACAUCUCCCUGCUCUGUUUGAGUCUAAAUUUCAGGGUGUUUCAAACAUGUCUGAUGAAAUGACCUCUCAAUAGCUCUGUUGAUGUGGCACAUUGAUCCCCUGGUCUUAAACAGAAAAGGAACUUUCUUUUUUGUUUUUUUAUUUGAGGCAGGUUCUCACUCUGUUGCCCAGACUGGAGUGCAGUGGCUCAAUCAUGGCUCACUGCAGCCUCCACCUCCUGGGCUCAAGCCAUCCUCCUGCCUUAGCCUCUCAAGUAGCUGGGACCACAGGUACACGCCACCACGCCCAGCUAACCUUUUGAUUUUUUUGUAGAUCAAAAGAUUACAAAAUAUAUGUUGCCCAGGCUGGUCUUGAACUCCUGGACUCAAGCGAUCCAUCCACCUCAGCCUCCCAAACUGCUGGAAUUAUAGGCGUGAGCUACUGUGCCCGGCUGGGAUUUUUUGAAAUUAUGAAUGUGACUGACAUUUUAUCUUUUUACGGAGGGUGGGGUAGAAAGGGUGCUUAAAUAAAACUUUUGUGUAUUUUACUCAAGCCAGGCCUGUUUUACUCAUAAUGCUAAACAAAUCACUAAUGGACCGUGAACAAUGUAGGGAAGGUGGCCAUGGGACACGCCCUCUUCUGCGGGGUGGGAAGAGGGGAGGUGUCAUCUGUGAUGUGUUCUCCCUACAGAACCAGCUUUGCAUGAGGAUCGAGCCCAGUCAACGUUGCUGCUAUGGGGCUGGAGGGGACUUAAGGGCUCCUCCCAAAAGUGAGACCAGCACCCAAGGCCAAUUGGACCCGCGGCCACUAAGCAUACGGAGACGCUAUACAUCAUGUAAUGCAAUUCCCUCUGAUACGAUCUCUAGUAUUGAAAUACUAUAGGGUUUCCUAAGUAUGGAGUGCUGAGUGCGUUUCAAAGGCCAGAUCUCCCAAAUCUAACAGCCUUAACUCAUGCCGGGCCACCCUUGAGCUCUGGACGUGGCAGAAGCAAAGAGAACUUUACCUGAUGUGAUGCACAAAUGUUUCAUCACGCACACAGACACACGCACGCAUGCACACACACAUGUGCAACUCUGUGACGGGCUCGCACGCUGGCGCCACCCAACGCCAGUCUCUCACCUCUUUGUCUGCCUUGGAUGCUACGGAGGGCCAGG
rnacentral:lncRNA from 1 species